AUUGAACGCUGGCGGCAUGCUUUACACAUGCAAGUCGAACGGCAGCGCGGGCUUCGGCCUGGCGGCGAGUGGCGAACGGGUGAGUAAUACAUCGGAACGUGCCCAGUAGUGGGGGAUAGCUCGGCGAAAGCCGGAUUAAUACCGCAUACGCCCUGAGGGCGAAAGCGGGGGAUCUUCGGACCUCGCGCUCUUGGAGCGGCCGAUGGCAGAUUAGCUAGUUGGUGGGGUAAAGGCCUACCAAGGCGACGAUCUGUAGCUGGUCUGAGAGGACGACCAGCCACACUGGGACUGAGACACGGCCCAGACUCCUACGGGAGGCAGCAGUGGGGAAUUUUGGACAAUGGGCGAAAGCCUGAUCCAGCAAUGCCGCGUGUGUGAUGAAGGCCUUCGGGUUGUAAAGCACUUUUGGCGGGAACGAAAAGGACUGUGCCAAUACCACGGUUCGAUGACGGUACCCGCAGAAUAAGCACCGGCUAACUACGUG
rnacentral:rRNA from 1 species